rnacentral:rRNA from 1 species
GUGCAGCAGGCGAGAAACCUUCGCAAUGCAGGAAACUGCGACGAGGGAACUCCAAGUGCCUACGCUCAGCGUAGGCUGUUCUCAAGCCUAGAAAGCUUGAGGAGUAAGGGCUGGGUAAGACGGGUGCCAUCUGUGGUAGCAGUCAAUAGAUUCGAUUUGUUACUGCAAGGCAUAAGCCGCCGCGGUAAUACCCCGCAGCCCCAAGUGGUGGCCGCUUUUAUGGGCCUAAAGCGUCCGUAGCCGGCCCGGUAAAUGCCUGGGUAAAUCGUGGAGCCCAACUUCACGAAUUCCGGGUAGACUGCCGAGCUCGGGACCGGAAGAGGGAGAGGGGUACUUC